rnacentral:rRNA from 1 species
AUUGAACGCUGGCGGCAGGCCUAACACAUGCAAGUCGAGCGGAUGAAGGGAGCUUGCUCCUGGAUUCAGCGGCGGACGGGUGAGUAAUGCCUAGGAAUCUGCCUGGUAGUGGGGGAUAACGUCCGGAAACGGGCGCUAAUACCGCAUACGUCUUGAGGGAGAAAGUGGGGGAUCUUCGGACCUCACGCUAUCAGAUGAGCCUAGGUCGGAUUAGCUAGUUGGUGGGGUAAAGGCCUACCAAGGCGACGAUCCGUAACUGGUCUGAGAGGAUGAUCAGUCACACUGGAACUGAGAAACGGUCAAGACUCCUACGGGAGGCAGCAGUGGGGAAUAUUGGACAAUGGGCGAAAGCCUGAUCCAGACAGGCCGCGUGUGUGAAGAAGGUCUUCGGAUUGUAAAGCACUUUAAGUUGGGAGGAAGGGCAGUAAGUUAAUAACUUGCUGUUUUGACGUUACCAACAGAAUAAGCAACGGCUAACUUCGUG